UAAAUUUGCCGGGGGCCGCUCGUUUGUGGGCUCCAGUAGGAGCUCUCUGAUUCUGAGUACCACACAUCUGUAAAUUCUCCAGGCCCAGAUGUCAGCAAUGGCUUAAAUGUAUUUUAGAGCAAGAGGGUCAAAAGCCAUUCCGUGCUCCCCCAGCCCUAUUGCACCCGGCUUUCCCUCAUAUGCCGGCUCUUUGGAGUAAAGAGAGUCUGAGCAAAAUAGGAGAGAAACUGGCUCUGAGAACGGCAACUAGAAUUCAAGGCCGAGAAUCAGGAGCAAAAAGAGGAUAGAUAAAAAUGUAGAAGGAUUUUGAGGCAUAAAGACAUGGAAGUGAGGAAGAUCAUGACAGCUGACUUUGAUUUCUUCUUAAAAUUUUGUAUACCUUCAGGGUUGACUAUUUUCAUCUUUUAUCAUCUUUGUCAAUCUGCUUGGAGGAGUCUGUAAGUAGUGCCAAGCGAAGCCUGCACAAUGCCUGAAUUUCUGUAACUGUUUUUCUCAGCAUGGAGCAAGAAGUGUAAAUUUGUCUUGAAAAAGUCUUCUAGAAUCAGCAGCAAGUACAGAAAUAAUAAAAUUCAA